rnacentral:rRNA from 1 species
UACGUAGGGGGCAAGCGUUGUCCGGAUUUAUUGGGCGUAAAGAGCGUGUAGGCGGCCGUACAGGUCAGCUGUGAAAACUCGAGGCUCAACCUCGAGACGUCGGUUGAAACCGUACGGCUAGAGUCCGGAAGAGGAGAGUGGAAUUCCCGGUGUAGCGGUGAAAUGCGUAGAUAUCUGGAGGAACACCGGUGGCGAAGGCGGCAUCCUGGACCAAUACUGACACUGAGGAGCGAAAGCCAGGGGAGCAAACGGG